rnacentral:lncRNA from 1 species
GGCUAACAAUCCCUCUAUAAGCUUUCUAAGAACUGCCUUUUUGUCUAUUCUACUCAUCAGUUACACAACCCUUUGAUGCCGGCUGCACAUUCUUUAUGUACUGGAUCAAAGACAAAGUUAUUAGAUCGUUAAAUAAAUUAACCCUAGAAAGCAGAUAGUAAGAAAGAUUCUUUAAACUCCUGUACUUGUGAAGAACUCCUCGGGUAGUCUUAUACAGGGGUGGAGU